rnacentral:rRNA from 1 species
AAACUGAAGAGUUUGAUCCUGGCUCAGAUUGAACGCUGGCGGAAUGCUUUACACAUGCAAGUCGAGCGGCAGCAUGGACUUCGGUCUGAUGGCGAGCGGCGAACGGGUGAGUAAUGUAUAGGAACAUACCUAGUAAUGGGGGAUAACGCCGAGAAAUCGGUGCUAAUACCGCAUACGCCCUGAGGGGGAAAGCGGGGGACCGUAAGGCCUCGCGCGAUUGGAGCGGCCGAUAUCGGAUUAGCUUGUUGGUGAGGUAAAGGCUCACCAAGGCGACGAUCCGUAGCUGGUCUGAGAGGACGACCAGCCACACUGGAACUGAGACACGGUCCAGACUCCUACGGGAGGCAGCAGUGGGGAAUUUUGGACAAUGGGCGAAAGCCUGAUCCAGCCAUUCCGCGUGAGUGAAGAAGGCCUUCGGGUUGUAAAGCUCUUUCGACAGGAAAGAAAUCGCCCCUUCUAAUACAAGUGGUGGAUGAC